rnacentral:rRNA from 1 species
UCGGGAAUUUUGGGCAAUGGGGGAAACCCUGACCCAGCAACGCCGCGUGAAGGAUGAAGUAUUUCGGUAUGUAAACUUCGAAAGAAUAGGAAGAAUAAAUGACGGUACUAUUUAUAAGGUCCGGCUAACUACGUGCCAGCAGCCGCGGUAAUACGUAGGGACCAAGCGUUGUUCGGAUUUACUGGGCGUAAAGGGCGCGUAGGCGGCAUGACAAGUCACUUGUGAAAUCUCUGGGCUUAACCCAGAACGGCCAAGUGAUACUGUCGCGCUAGAGUGCAGAAGGGGCAAUCGGAAUUCUUGGUGUAGCGGUGAAAUGCGUAGAUAUCAAGAGGAACACCUGAGGUGAAGACGGGUUGCUGGGCUGACACUGACGCUGAGGCGCGAAAGCCAGGGGAGCAAACGGGAUUAGAUACCCGAGUAGUCCCUGAGCGGGC